CCAUCACUUCGAGUGAGUAAGAUCCCUCAGAGACGAUGAGGUUGAUAGGUCCGAGGUGGAAGCGUGGUGACACGUGGAGCUGACGGAUACUAAUAGAUCGAGGACUUAACUAAUUU
rnacentral:rRNA from 1 species